rnacentral:misc_RNA from 1 species
UUUCCGUAGGUGAACCUGCGGAAGGAUCAUUAAAGAACCGCCCCGUUUUUUAUAAAUGGGCUCUAUUCCCAAACCGUGUAUACAUACCUUUGUUGCUUUGGCAGGCCGCCUCCGGGCGUCGGCUCCGGCUGAUAGUGCCUGCCAGAGGACCCAAACUCUGUGUUUAGUGAUGUCUGAGUACUAUAUAAUAGUUAAAACUUUCAACAACGGAUCUCUUGGUUCUG